CCCUCACCGGCUGGGAAGAACCCUACUUGUCUUCGUAUCUGUUCUCCGUCCUCCUUUCCGAUCCCUUUACGGUUAGGGUUUCGAAUCCCGACAUGGCGACUUAAAACCGAACUCUCAAUUAGGCUUCCGAUCGACCAUUGAGAGGAUGGGAGUCGCGAGUGAGGGUCCGGCAACAUUGCCCGUGGUAGCCGAAGAGACAGAAGAGCGAAACUGCUGAAAACAGAAUUUGCUCAUCGCAGAAUUUGUAUUCUGAAAUGCUCCUAGUUAAAGGCUUUAACCCCUUCUAGUGCUUUGGCCACCGCCAAGUCAUUGUCAACUCAUCGAUACAUCAUUGCCAAUCUUAUCGUAGCCCCAAGCCAGCCCACAGAAGACAGAAACCCGAUGACCUCAGUAUCGAUGAAGAGUUAGGUAUUCUUUGACUGCCAAGUGCAAUGCACCAUGUGGAAAUGACUAAUUUAGGCUGCAAUAUUUGUGUCCAAAAGACUUGUGAGUUUUUACUAUGAUCACGACCAAAGCCACAUGGUGAUUGGAUAUGAUUUCCUUGGGAAGCUUCAAAUCAUGCAUAAAACUGAAAGAAUUUCAAAGAUAAGUUGUUCUGCCCUUGUUAAGAUAUUAUAUAUCACUUUGUUGAAGGAUAUGAUUUUUUGAAGAAUAUCUAUGCAGCUAUGAAAAUUCCAGACAAGAAUUUGAAUUAUAUUUGCUACUUGAACAACGUAUUCGGAUACAUUAUCUCCAUAGAUAGUUGACUAAAGAAAAUCUUGUGGCACUAGCAUUAGGCUGAUACCUAGAGAAUAACUUACCUUAGAGCUAAUUUUUAGAGUGGAUUUUCGUAGUUUUACCACUAAGCUUUUGAGCAAGAAACUGACUGACUAACUUUUUUUUUUUUUUUGACUGACUAAUUAGUUAUUCAUUGGAAUUGCUUUUGGGAAUUCUGUUUAGUUUGCAUACAUAGACAGAGAAAUAAUAAUUCUACUGUACAUUUUCAUAUAGAAAAAGGAACACAGACAUGUAUAGUACAUUGCAUGCAUUACUUAACAUACCGCUUCCUCGAGAAGCAAAAGCACAUGCAUGACACGACAUAGACACAUAUUGAAUGCAUGAGAUAGUUACACAAACACUAGAUAACUACAACUGAAAGCUGGAUAUGGAGAAUUUGGAUUAGAGUUCCUUAGACUAGUACUAUAUCUCACACUUAUGAACAGAUUUGAAUAAAUAAGAAUAGGGAUUAGCCGGUUAAAGUCGAGCUCGCAAAAAAUUGAUCAGUCAUGGUGGGGAACGUCUUACUGUCCAUUUCUUCCAUCAUCCACAGCAAGUCAGGACAGUAGUUCCAGAUUGGUGAAGCCAUUGCUUGAAUUGAUUUGAUUGUGUCAUUUUCCAAAUCUAUAUCUUUCCAUAUAUCAUCCAUGGAGUAAACCUUGUCACUCUCUUCCACUUCUUUAUCCUUUUUCCCCAUUGGAGCCCACAUCUCAAUAUCUCCACCUGUAUCAUAAAAGCUUCGUUCCUUGGUCUCUUUGACAGGCAUGGAAUCCACUGCAGGAUUGUUUGAAGGUGAAAAACUCUCCGUAUUUGGCAUAGAGUCCGCCGGAGCAUUGCUUGAAGCUGACGAAGAACAGUUAGAGCCAGAGGAAGGUGGAGACAUGGUUUGUUUCCUCUCUUGUGCCUUCUUCCUCAUGAUACAGAUUAUCGCAACUCAUUGGUAGAGUGAGUGUUUUUAUAACUACGACAGAAUUCUCAGAUGCUAUUUCAGGUAAAUUACCCAAAUCCUGUGUUUUGGCUUUCACAAUUUGCAGAUAAGAUUUAUUUGGUGUUUUCUUUUUCAAUCGGCAACGAAGCAGAUUUAUUGAGUGGUUGCAAUCUGUUUCCAUAUAUUGUUGGAAUGACUCUAACAACAGUAUGCUGUUUGCAUCAAUUGUCUCUCCCGCUGGUUGAAAAGUAAAAUGUGAAUAAAGAUCAUUGCAAUGAUUAUUAGUA